rnacentral:rRNA from 1 species
UACGAAGGGGGCUAGCGUUGUUCGGAAUUACUGGGCGUAAAGGGCUCGUAGGCGGCCAAUUAAGUCAUACGUGAAAUCCCUCGGCUUAACCGGGGAACUGCGUCUGAUACUGGAUGGCUUGAGUUUGGGAGAGGGAUGCGGAAUUCCAGGUGUAGCGGUGAAAUGCGUAGAUAUCUGGAGGAACACCGGUGGCGAAGGCGGCAUCCUGGACCAACACUGACGCUGAGGAGCGAAAGCCAGGGGAGCAAACGGG